ACAGAACAGCCGAAAGCAACGUUGAGAUCUCUGGCCUCGUAUUGCACAGAUUCCUGCCCUGGACUCUGGAUUACCAGCUGCAAAUGGAUAUAAUGAACACCAGCAUACGGUGUCACAGCCAGGUGAUUCAUCAUAACAUUCAAACAUGUUUUCAUCUGUUUCAUCCGAUCACUUAAAGCUCUGUGAAUAAAAAGCAUCUCUGCCUCAAGCUAAAAUGGAAAAGUACCGAAUAGAGGAGCCGUAAAGGUCAUUUGAAGGUUCUGAAAUGCAGAUUUCUCAGCUCCUCCUGAUCAGACCAGCUGACAAGUUUUUCUUGCUUGUUGCAGCUAAAUUGAGCCCAUGUGAAGAUUCUGACAUGGAGCCCUGCCUCAGCCGCAGCAUUUAUCGAUGUUUGUGUGUCGACUGUCGCCGAUAAAAGGGCGAUAUGUUGGCAGAUCGACCAACAGGAUGUGG